rnacentral:rRNA from 1 species
AUUGAACGCUGGCGGCACGCCUAACACAUGCAAGUCGAGCGGCAGCGAGACUAGUAGCAAUACUAGUUGUCGGCGAGCGGCGGACGGGUGAGUAACACGUAGGAAUCUGCCCUUAAGCGGGGGAUAACCAAGGGAAACUUUGGCUAAUACCGCAUAAUCUCGAGAGAGCAAAGCUGCCCGCAAGGGUGGCACUUGAGGAGGAGCCUGCGUCCGAUUAGCUAGUUGGUGGGGUAAUGGCCUACCAAGGCGAUGAUCGGUAACUGGUCUGAGAGGACGACCAGUCACACUGGGACUGAGACACGGCCCAGACUCCUACGGGAGGCAGCAGUGGGGAAUAUUGGACAAUGGGGGCAACCCUGAUCCAGCGAUGCCGCGUGAGUGAAGAAGGCCUUCGGGUCGUAAAGCUCUUUAGGUUGGGAAGAAGGGUAUUGGCUGAAUAAUCCAGUACUUUGACGGUACCGACAGAAUAAGCACCGGCAAACUCUGUGCCAGCCGCCGCCGCAGUAA